GAUAAACGCUGGCGGCGUGCUUAACACAUGCAAGUCGAACGAUUAAAGCCCCCUUCGGGGGGUGCAUAGAGUGGCGAACGGGUGAGUAUCACGUGGGUAACCUGCCCUCCGCUCCGGGAUAACUCAGGGAAACCUGAGCUAAUACCGGAUACUCCGAUCGGGUCGCAUGGCCUGAUCGGGAAAGUUCCGGCGGCGGAGGAUUGGCCCGCGGCCCAUUAGCUUGUUGGUGAGGUGACGGCUCACCAAGGCCGCGAUGGGUAGCCGAGCUGAGAGGCUGGUCGGACACACUGGGACUGAGACGCGGCCCCGAUCCCUACGCGAGGCAGCGGUGGGGAAUUUUGCGCAAUGGGCGGAAGCCUGACGCAGCACCGCCGCGUGCGGGAUAAAGGCCUUCGGGUUGUAAACCGCUUUCAGCAGGGAUGAAACUGACAGUACCUGCAGAAGAAGCCCCGGGUAAAUACGUGCCAGCCGCCGCGGUAAAAC
rnacentral:rRNA from 1 species